UUGUCUUCUAAGGAGGUGGGGGAUGUUGUAGCAUCCAAAAAUUCCAUAAAUCCACAAACCUGACAUCAUAAAGAUAUGAUAAUGGUCUAAAAAGAUAACCACGUCUCCAUAAUUUACAGAAGACACGACAGACAAGCCAGGAACCGGCAGGGUUGGCAGUAACAUCAUAUUUGAAGAGGACAGCGACCGGUCCAGCUUAGAGCGCUGGAGCAGCCACACGGGACACAAGAAACACACAGCACAAAAAACAGCAACAGACAAACAACGACUACAGUAUUGCCUGUCAAGAGACCCUACCACGUUCAUUACAGGACACCUAGCGACCAUAAAACCGCCUGCACACGAUCCAACUGGAAACCAAGACACGUAAACAAUUCCACCAAACAACGACUUCUGUC